AUUUCUUUUAAAAAUUGCAUAAGCAGACUGAAAAAUGUGUUUUCCUUCUCACUGAAAUUUUGAAAGUGUUUUUCAGAUGAAAUAAUAAUUUAUUGAGAAAAUAUUAAUUACUUGAUUAUUUUAAUAUUUUAGCACUAAUUUACAGCCUGAAAUGAAAAUCUCAAGGAGGGGAAAGGGAUCUGAGCCCUACUGAGAUAAGACUAUGCUUGAUUUUGAGAAUGUUGUUUGAGGCAUCCAUCGAUUUCAGUCUUCAGUCAGCUAAAGAAGUCAACAGUAUGCUGUUUCCUUGAAUAAAUCCACUGGAUGGACUGAUCUCCUGGAACACUGAGUCAGAAGGAACUGGUUUUCUUGUCUCCAGAAUGAAAGUGUAGAAGCUUGAAACGGUCACCACCUCAGUUGAACUGUCAUUUCAGCUCUGUGUUGCAAGGCAAAGCUCCAAACAUGCAGUGGUUGCCAUGCCCAGUGGAAGAGGAAUUGAGUGGAAAUUGGGGUGUCAAUGCUUUCAGGCUCUUCCUGCAUUUGCUUCCCCACAUGCCGUGGAAGUACUAAAAUUAGGACAUUCUGGGUCAUGAGACACCUGAUUUUUGAUCUUCUUAAAGAUGGCUGAAGACUUGAGCGGCUGCUUUGGAACAGGUGAAACAAUAUGAGUUCAGGUGCCCAGCAUCUGAAAAAAAAGCUCUGUGAAGCUGGUCUGGUUCUCACUUUCCCAGGAAAUACUCAGCUAUCCUAAGAUGACCCUGUCCAACAGACACAAAAUGUUGCCAUCAAGCAUCAAGUCAACAUGUAUCAGACAACCCACAGCAGUAUCAGACAAACCACAACUAGUGGAGUGCUACUGGAUGGCGGCAAAUGUUAUAUAUUUCAAGUUAACGUAACAUUUUCUCAUUAGCCAAAUAUUUUUUUCUGAUGGAAAAAAUACUUGAUUUGCCAGGAAAUCUGCUUCUAGAUCCACCCAGAAGCUUAAGUAUUUUGUACUAUUUAACAUGUGAAAAAUGUCAGCUGCUUCAGAAAGACUAUAAUGAAUGAGAGGAUAAGGAAAAGUGUUCAACAAGUGAAAGAAAAGAUAACAGCUGGCUUUUAAAAAGUAAAUAAAAUGUAGGUCUAUUCUUUACAAAACAAAUUGGAAAAUUCCUUUUAAAUGCCACACUCUAGUGAAAGCAUAAUUUCAUCCUCACUUUAAGUAGGCUGAUCAAGAUAAUGGGUAAACAAUUGCUUAGAACUGGAUGGUAGAUUGGAGAAAAGCAGGUAGAAAUUUUAAAUAAAUUUACUCUUCAAAGAGUAGGAUUGUUAUGGUUUUAGGUCUCUAGGACAAAAAAUCCCCAACCAACCCUACCCCAGACAAUGCAGUCCUUGAUCUCCCAAUUCAGUUUUCAAAGGGAAAGUUUCAUUGAAGUUGAUGAUUCUGGAUACAGAUGCAUGUUCCUAUAUCUGCCAGGCCAUGGACCUGUAUGUCAUGAUGUGGGAUUGCACAUCCUGUCAAAUUAAUACAGGUCUUCCAACUCAAUGCUCAUUGCAGCUCAGCCUCUAUGCAGAAAAAUCAUCAACUGCAAAGGGACUUUGCCUGUGUGAAUAUAAUUUUGUGAUUAAGUUUUAAAAUAUUUUUCCCCUCCUGUAAAACAUGAUUACUUAAAACGCCUCAAAAAAAGGAGGGGGGGAGUGGAACUAAAAAAAAAUCACUGUGUGGUCUUGCAAAAUAAUCAGAAAGAGCAGCUGAAACAAG